rnacentral:pre_miRNA from 1 species
AACAUACUCUCUUUGUCCGAAAUUACUUGUCGCACAAACGUAUAAAAAUGGAUGUAUCUAGAACUAAAAUACAUCUAGAUACAUCCAUUCCUGUGACAAGUAUUUCCGGACGGAGGGAGUAUAUA